rnacentral:rRNA from 1 species
UGGGGAAUAUUGGACAAUGGGCGCAAGCCUGAUCCUGCCAUGCCGCGUGUGUGAAGAAGGCCUUUUGGUUGUAAAGCACUUUAAGCGAGGAGGAGGCUACUUGGAUUAAUACUCUAGGAUAGUGGACGUUACUCGCAGAAUAAGCACCGGCUAACUCUGUGCCAGCAGCCGCGGUAAUACAGAGGGUGCGAGCGAUAAUCGGAUUUACUGGGCGUAAAGCGUGCGUAGGCGGCUUGUUAAGUCGGAUGUGAAAUCCCUGAGCUUAACUUAGGAAUUGCAUUCGAUACUGGGAAGCUAGAGUAUGGGAGAGAAUGGUAGAAUUCCAGGUGUAGCGGUGAAAUGCGUAGGGAUCUGGAGGGAUACCGAUGGCGAAGGCAGGCAUCUGGCCUAAUACUGACGGUGGAGUACGAAAGCAUGGGGAGCAAGCAGG